rfam:Lyngbya confervoides BDT141951 scaffold_0, whole genome shotgun sequence.
UCCCAAUUGAAUGAGUAACCGAAGACAGUAGGCAUUUGUAAGUCCUGCCGAGGUUCAGAUGAGCUUUUGCUGAGGUGAUAGCUGCUUAAUGCAGUAAUUUCCUUUGCCAUGCUUCUGAAGCCUCGGUAUUUACCGGGGCUUUUUUGCUGCUGAA